rnacentral:lncRNA from 1 species
ACCAGUCAGAGAAUGGUGGUUUCUAUCGAACUGGCAGGAAAUAGGUCCACAGUGAAGAAGUUCAAAAAAUUGAUGAUCAUAUGCAAAAGGAACAAGAACAACAACUAAAUUUUGCUGAAGCAAUGUGCGGGAAAGAAGAUAAUGAACAUGUACAUGCACAUUCUGAUCAAGAGGAGUCAGAAGCCUCUUCUCAAGAUGAACGACAACAGUGUGACGAAGAAGAAGAGGCCCUGGACUACCAGGUUUCACAGGAAGUUGUAAAGGUGAAGAAAAAAAGAAGAAGGAAAAAGAAGUCAGAGCGGGUGGAUUUAUCACCCUCAAGGAGGUCCGAUAGAGUUGCUGCAAUAACGCAGCUAAAGAAUACAAAGUUAUGC